rnacentral:rRNA from 1 species
AACAAUACAAGGCAGUUAAAAUGCUUUGUAAUUGGAAUGAUAGAAAUUUAAACCCUUUUUAAAGUAUCAAUUGGAGGGCAAGUCUGGUGCCAGCAGCCGCGGUAAUUCCAGCUCCAAUAGCGUAUAUUAAAAUUGUUGCAGUUAAAAAGCUCGUAGUUGAAGUUCUGCUGAAAGUAACCGGUCUGCUUUUAAUAAAAGUGGUAUCUUGGUAUGUAUUUAGCAAUGAUGUCCUUUGAAGUGUUUUUUACUUUAUUGUAAUAAAGCAUAUUCAGGACUUUUACUUUGAGAAAAUUAGAGUGUUUCUAGCAGGCUAACGCUUUGAAUACUGCAGCAUGGAAUAAUAAGAUAGGAUUUUAGUUCUACAUUAUUGGUUUUAAGAGCUAAAUUAAUGAUUGAUAGGGACAGUUGGGGGCAUUUGUAUUUAACUGUCAGAGGUGAAAUUCUUAGAUUUGUUAAAGACAAACUACUGCGAAAGCAUUUGCCAAAGAUGUUUUCAUUAAUCAAGAACGAAAGUUAGGGGAUCGAAGACGAUCAGAUACCGUCGUAGUCUUAACUAUAAACUAUGCCGACUAGAGAUUGGAGGUCGUCUUUAUAAAC